GGCUAACACAUGCAAGUCGAGCGGAAACGAGUUAUCUGAACCUUCGGGGAACGAUAACGGCGUCGAGCGGCGGACGGGUGAGUAAUGCCUAGGAAAUUGCCCUGAUGUGGGGGAUAACCAUUGGAAACGAUGGCUAAUACCGCAUAAUGCCUACGGGCCAAAGAGGGGGACCUUCGGGCCUCUCGCGUCAGGAUAUGCCUAGGUGGGAUUAGCUAGUUGGUGAGGUAAUGGCUCACCAAGGCGACGAUCCCUAGCUGGUCUGAGAGGAUGAUCAGCCACACUGGAACUGGGACACGGUCCAGACUCCUACGGGAGGCAGCAGUGGGGAAUAUUGCACAAUGGGCGCAAGCCUGAUGCAGCCAUGCCGCGUGUGUGAAGAAGGCCUUCGGGUUGUAAAGCACUUUCAGUCGUGAGGAAGGUAGUGUAGUUAAUAGCUGCAUUAUUUGACGUUAGCGACAGAAGAAGCACCGGCUAACUCCGUGCCAGCAGCCGCGGUAAUACGGAGGGUGCGAGCGUUAAUCGGAAUUACUGGGCGUAAAGCGCAUGCAGGUGGUUUGUUAAGUCAGAUGUGAAAGCCCGGGGCUCAACCUCGGAAUAGCAUUUGAAACUGGCAGACUAGAGUACUGUAGAGGGGGGUAGAAUUUCAGGUGUAGCGGUGAAAUGCGUAGAGAUCUGAAGGAAUACCGGUGGCGAAGGCGGCCCCCUGGACAGAUACUGACACUCAGAUGCGAAAGCGUGGGGAGCAAACAGGAUUAGAUACCCUGGUAGUCCACGCCGUAAACGAUGUCUACUUGGAGGUUGUGGCCUUGAGCCGUGGCUUUCGGAGCUAACGCGUUAAGUAGACCGCCUGGGGAGUACGGUCGCAAGAUUAAAACUCAAAUGAAUUGACGG
rnacentral:rRNA from 1 species